rnacentral:lncRNA from 1 species
GCCCUUUUGACAUGCAUGUAUAAUCUUAAUUUGCAAGUCUAGAGAAAGAAGAAAGCAAAGAAAACGGAGAAGUUGAUUCCAAAACAAGCUUGAACCAAUAAAGACGACUUUUCGUGGACUGCCGACGGUGAUGAUGAUGAUGUCGUAUUUGCACGCGAGCUACGAAUCCGCCUUUUAAUUUGAACAACUAUUACCUCCCUUGAUAGUUUCACUGGUUUAGAUGUAUGCUCGAUUGCUAAGUGCGUACUACUUUUUCCCCGUUCCAA